rnacentral:rRNA from 1 species
AUUCCAGCUCCAAUAGCGUAUAUUAAAGUUGUUGCGGUUAAAAAGCUCGUAGUUGGAUUUCUGCCGAGGACGACCGGUCCGCCCUCUGGGUGAGUAUCUGGCUCGGCCUGGGCAUCUUCUUGGAGAACGUAUCUGCACUUGACUGUGUGGUGCGGUAUCCAGGACUUUUACUUUGAGGAAAUUAGAGUGUUUCAAGCAGGCUUACGCCUUGAAUACAUUAGCAUGGAAUAAUAAGAAAGGACCUCGUUUCUAUUUUGUUGGUUUUCGGAAAUCGACUUAAUGAUUAAUAGGGAUAGUCGGGGGCAUUCGUAUUCAAACGACAGAGGUGAAAUUCUUGGACCGUUUGAAGACGAACUAAGGCGAAAGCAUUUGCCAAGAAUGUUUUCAUCA